rfam:Nematostella vectensis strain CH2 x CH6 NEMVEscaffold_322_Cont23764, whole genome shotgun sequence.
GGUCCUAUGGUGUAAUGGUUAGCACUCUGGAUUUUGAAUCCAGCGAUCCGAGUUCAAAUGUCGGUGGGACCU